CCUACGGGUGGCAGCAGUGGGGAAUAUUGGACAAUGGGCGAAAGCCUGAUCCAGCCAUGCCGCGUGUGUGAAGAAGGCCUUCGGGUUGUAAAGCACUUUCAGUGGGGAAGAAAGCCUUGGGGCUAAUACCCUCGAGGAAGGACAUCACCCACAGAAGAAGCACCGGCUAACUCCGUGCCAGCAGCCGCGGUAAUACGGAGGGUGCGAGCGUUAAUCGGAAUUACUGGGCGUAAAGCGCGCGUAGGCGGUCUGAUAAGCCGGUUGUGAAAGCCCCGGGCUCAACCUGGGAACGGCAUCCGGAACUGUCAGGCUAGAGUGCAGGAGAGGAAGGUAGAAUUCCCGGUGUAGCGGUAAAAUGCGUAGAGAUCGGGAGGAAUACCAGUGGCGAAGGCGGCCUUCUGGACUGACACUGACGCUGAGGUGCGAAAGCGUGGGUAGCAAACAGGAUUAGAUACCCUGGUAGUC
rnacentral:rRNA from 1 species